UACGUAGGGGGGCAAGCGUUGUCCGGAUUUAUUGGGCGUAAAGAGCGUGUAGGCGGUCAGGUAGGUCGGUUGUGAAAACUGGAGGCUCAACCUUCAGAGGUCGACCGAAACCCCCUGGCUAGAGUCCGGGAGAGGAGAGUGGAAUUCCUGGUGUAGCGGUGAAAUGACGCAGAUAUCAGGAAGAACACCCGUGGCGAAAGCGGCUCUCUGGAACGGUACUGACGCUGAGACGCGAAAGCGUGGGGAGCGAACAGG
rnacentral:rRNA from 1 species